rnacentral:misc_RNA from 1 species
GUGGGAGGGGGCUUGCUCCCGAUUGCGGUGUGUCAGUUGAUGGAUCUAUUGGCUGAUCCACCGCAAUCGGGAGCAAGCCCCCUCCCAC